UACGGGGGGGGCAAGCGUUGUUCGGAAUUACUGGGUGUAAAGGGUUCGUAGGCGGUGUGGCAAGUCGGGAGUGAAAUCUCUGGGCUCAACCCAGAGGCUGCUUCCGAAACUGCCGUGCUUGAGUGUGGGAGAGGCGCGUGGAAUUGCAGGUGUAGCGGUGAAAUGCGUAGAUAUCUGCAGGAACACCCGUGGCGAAAGCGG
rnacentral:rRNA from 1 species